UCUGAUGUGAAAGCCCACGGCUCAACCGUGGAGGGUCAUUGGAAACUGGGGGACUUGAGUGCAGAAGAGGAGAGCGGAAUUCCACGUGUAGCGGUGAAAUGCGUAGAGAUGUGGAGGAACACCAGUGGCGAAGGCGGCUCUCUGGUCUGUAACUGACGCUGAGGCGCGAAAGCGUGGGGAGCGAACAGGAUUAGAUACCCUGGUAGUCCACGCCGUAAACGAUGAGUGCUAAGUGUUAGAGGGUUUCCGCCCUUUAGUGCUGCAGCAAACGCAUUAAGCACUCCGCCUGGGGAGUACGGUCGCAAGACUGAAACUCAAAGGAAUUGACGGGGGCCCGCACAAGCGGUGGAGCAUGUGGUUUAAUUCGAAGCAACGCGAAGAACCUUACCAGGUCUUGACAUCCUCUGACACUCCUAGAGAUAGGACGUUCCCCUUCGGGGGACAGAGUGACAGGUGGUGCAUGGUUGUCGUCAGCUCGUGUCGUGAGAUGUUGGGUUAAGUCCCGCAACGAGCGCAACCCUUGAUCUUAGUUGCCAGCAUUUAGUUGGGCACUCUAAGGUGACUGCCGGUGACAAACCGGAGGAAGGUGGGGAUGACGUCAAAUCAUCAUGCCCCUUAUGACCUGGGCUACACACGUGCUACAAUGGAUGGUACAAAGGGCAGCAAAACCGCGAGGUUAAGCCAAUCCCAUAAAACCAUUCUCAGUUCGGAUUGCAGGCUGCAACUCGCCUGCAUGAAGCCGGAAUCGCUAGUAAUCGCGGAUCAGCAUG
rnacentral:rRNA from 1 species